UAAGCGAAAGUGAUAAGUAUCCCACCUGGGGAGUACGCACGCAAGUGUGAAACUCAAAGGAAUUGACGGGGGCCCGCACAAGCGGAGGAGCAUGUGGUUUAAUUCGAUGAUACGCGAGGAACCUUACCAGGGCUUAAAUGGGAGACGACAGUUUGGGAAACCAGAUUUUCUUCGGACGUCUUUCAAGGUGCUGCAUGGUUGUCGUCAGCUCGUGCCGUGAGGUGUCAGGUUAAGUCCUAUAACGAGCGCAACCCCUAUUGUUAGUUGCCAGCGGGUCAUGCCGGGAACUCUAACAAGACUGCCGGUGCAAACCGUGAGGAAGGUGGGGAUGACGUCAAAUCAUCACGGCCCUUACGUCCUGGGCUACACACGUGCUACAAUGGGCGGUACAGAGAGCAGCCACUGCGCAAGCAGGAGCGAAUCUUCAAAGCCGUUCUCAGUUCGGAUCGGAGUCUGCAACUCGACUCCGUGAAGCUGGAUUCGCUAGUAAUCGCAUAUCAGCCAUGAUGCGGUGAAUACGUUCCCGGGCCUUGUACACACCGCCCGUCAAGCCA
rnacentral:rRNA from 1 species